GCCGCGACAGCUCAGCUGGUAGAGCAUCUGCUUCGUAAGCGAAAUGUCGCCGGUUCGAUUCCGGCUCGUGGCA
rnacentral:tRNA from 1 species